rnacentral:rRNA from 1 species
GAGGCAGAGGCAGAGGAGGACGAGGAGUAUUGGUCCUACCAUGACGUGGGUGAAGCCCUAGACUGGCUUGACACUGCGGAGGGCCCGGAUGGCUCGACACGUCUUUCCUCAACAUUCUCGGCUGCCGGAAGUGCGGCUGCGGCGCGGAGGCCGAACGCACAUGGCGGCAUGCUCGCGCGCACACUCCAGCCACUCUCCAACCGCACACAGAAGCUCGCCUCACACGUCCGUGCCGCUCCGUUGGAGGAGUGGGAAGGUAGAAUGAACGUGGGGAUGUCAAAUUCCGUGACAACUGCAAUCAGGGACAGCAUAAGAGAUACUGCAAUUGGGAAAACAAGGAACACUGGGAAGGCAGAUCGUGCUACAGUUGAACAGGCUAUUGACCCAAGAACCCGCAUGGUUUUGUUCAAAAUGCUAAACCGUGGUGUUUUUAAUAACAUAAAUGGUUGCAUUUCAACCGGAAAAGAGGUAACCUUCAAUUUGCAGUGCACAUCGUAG